rnacentral:lncRNA from 1 species
UGAGAAAUAGUUAUACGUAAUAUCUUUUGCAGAUGACUUUUUGAAAAGAAAUCUAUGGACAAAGAAGCUGUUUUUCAACCUUUGCUGACAACUAAAGAGCAAGGAGAAUUAUAUAUUCCGUCUGAAUUGGAUAUCCAAAUCAUAUCCUCUUUGGAAGAUGUUUUGGAAAUUUCAGAUCUAAAUCUGAAUUCGCUGUAUCAUCAAGGAUUUAUACAAGUCAAUACCAAAAUCCGGGCUGCAACAAAGGCACAAGAAGGCAGCCAACACCACUAAGCAGAAUCCCAAUGUAACCUGGAAAGAUUUUUUCCUGUCUUCACAUUUCUGUUUAUUUUCUGUUUAUUCA